GUAUUCAAAAAUUACUCGUUAGUGAAUGAUAUUAUGAAAACGUAAAGAAAAUAUCGACGAAUAAUAUUACGUUCACGUGUCCCUAUUUAAUUUUGUGUUACGAGAUCUUCCCACCAUGUCAAUGGUGAAUCGAAUACGAAUCUAAUGGCAUUGGUGGCAGCUUCAACAUCUGUAUCUUUUUCUACUGAAAGAAUCACUUGUCGUUUCACAAAUUCACUCUUCAAAUCCAAUUUUAUUACGAAGCUUAACAAUCUAGACUCACCAUUGCAGCAAUGGCAAACAAGAUCAAGAACCUCGUUUAUUAUGCAUAACCAUAGUGUUAUUGAUUCAUAUAAAGGUGUAAAACGAGUUUCAUUUCAGCUUCCUCUGUUACGAUUACCUCUUCGUGUUGCUCCUAGUUCAUCUCUUCCGUUUCUGCACAAAUUCAUUUCAUCUCCUAUGUCUUCCUUAAGUUCCGACGCUAACCCUGAUGUUAAAACGGUUAGAGCUGUGAUAAAAGGGAGAGUGCAAGGGGUGUUUUACAGGGACUGGACUGUGGAGAAUGCUAAGGAAUUGGGAUUGAAAGGUUGGGUUCGAAAUCGGAGGGAUGGAUCGGUGGAAGCUUUGUUUUCUGGAAGCCCGGAAAAAGUUCAGGAAAUGGAGCAGAGGUGUCGGAGGGGUCCAUCAUCUGCUAUUGUCACUGGACUAGAUGUCGUCCCCUGUGAUGAUGACCCUGGAGCUGGGUUCGAACGCAAACAAACUGCGUGAUCAUAGGCUAGCCUUUUGUUUGCCAAGCAAAUCAAAGACGAUGAGUUGACUGGAAGCUUUUACUCCAUCACAGCUAAAACAUUCAGUAAGAUUUACUUUUAUGUAGUUUCAGUAUCCCCGCAUCGGUUGUGAUUGAUGAGAAAUGUGGACGUAAGCUUGUUUAAGGAGCUGAGUUACGCCCAAGAUUCAUUUUCUUAUCACGUGACAAAUGGUAGUUGAGGAAAGUAUGGUACAAUAAGUUGAGGCCCUUGAUAUUUUAUCGAUACACAGUCCUAGAUAUACAUAUAUUUUCGUAUUUGUUGAUUAUUUUUAAUUUAAACGGUUGAGUGAACAACUCUGUUAGUUCUUAAGAGAAAAAGAUAUGGAACCAAUUAUAUGACUUUGACCUUUUGAAUACUUUUUCUGUACAACAUUUUAGACUAUGAGUUGAAGAUUUGAUCUUUCAUGGAUUUGAGUUCGAAA